GGACACUAGAUAAUAAAAAAAAAUUAAAAAAAAACAUUCAAAAUGAUCAAAGAAAGGAAGUUUUGUCCCUUUGAAUAUGUGAUGUGUGCAACCAGUUCACUGAGAGGGUUUAAACACAUCAAAUAAAUACAUAAUGCCAAACAACAAACAUGCUUUUAAAAACAAAUCUAGCCGUGUUACCCUGUCCUACCUGUACUUCAUAUUGCACAAAUUCUCUCAAAAGGAAUGCAGGUAAGCUAGGUUUAUGAAUUUCUGUUACUUUAAAGAAAUACCUAGUAUGGAGUUCCCAUCAUGGCUCAGCAGGUUAGAAACCUGACUAGUAGCCAUGAGGAUGCGGGCUCAAUCUAUGGCCUCAAUCAGUGGGUUAAGGAUCCAGCGUUGCUGUGAGGUGUGGUGUAGGUCACAAAUGUGGCUCAGAUCCGUGUUGCUGUGGCUGUGGCGUAGGCGGGCGGCUGCAGCUCCAAUUUGACCCCUAGCCUGGGAACCUCCAUCUGUCCCAGGUGUGGCUCUGAAAAGAAAAAGAAAAAGAAGGAAGGAAGGAAGGAAGGAAGGAAGGAAGGAAGGAAGAAAGAAAGAAAAAGAAAGAAAGAAAGAAAGAAAGAAAGAAAGAAAGAAAGAAAGAAAGAAAGAAAGAAAGAAAGAAAGAAAGAAAGAAAGGGACCAAGUGUAAGCACAGUCUGCUUUUAAGUAAAGUUUGAUGAUUUUAAGUAUCAAAGGGAAUCACAAAGAGUUACAUUUAUGGAUAUAUUAAAAAUCAGGACACAUAUUUCAAAUCUGUCAGCAGCUAAAACUCAUUUAUUCGUCCUUCAUUCAUCCGUUUGUUUUAUGGAAUUUCACAAACAUUUAUAAAGUGCCUACUAAGAUUCUAAGCAAUGUAACUGUAAGGAUCUUUUCCUUGACGUGAGGAGUCUGUAUUUUCCAGUUAAUUUUAUAAUCUGUCUAAUCAUAUAAAGUUUUGGUUAUUCUUGAAGCCUAAUUGACUCACUUAAAUCAAAGUGACAUUAUUCAGGUGAGAUGAGACUCUGCAUAGAGUUAAAAACAUUAAUUAAAAAAAAAAAUGCGGUUUCAUUCCCAGUCAUGGUUUUUGAAAGCCAAGUUUCAGGUAGAACUAAGUGCUUUGAUAUCAAUCCAAGUCUUUUUCUAUCCUUCUGCCAUUUCGUGACUAAAGUACUAAAACUGAACGUGGGUCUCAAAGAUGGUUAGAAAAUGAAGCAGGCUUUAUCCAUAUCAUGCUGCUUUCCCCAUAACUCUGUCCCUACUUAAGUGCACUGCCACGGCCAGGUAGUUGGAGAAAUAUGAAGUUAAUUAUCAAAAAACAUAUAUCAAGAAUUUGACACAGGCUGGCUUGGCUUAUUAGGAAAGUUGUAUUUUUAACUUAAAAAAUGUGAUUCUUUGUUUAGUCAUUAUCAUUCCAGAAUGACCUUCAUUUGCAUGUAUAGUGUAAAAACCUUUUGAGUUUUGCCAAACUUUCUGGAAAUCAUUAAAAUGAAUUUAAAUUCAUAAUGCUCAAGUGUUUGUAUGCCACGUAUUUACCAGCCUCAUGGCUUAAUUUAAAUUCACACUGGAGGCUAAUGAGGAGUCAGACUUGAUAUUACAUGAAUAAUCACGGUAUUACCAUUUGCUGCCUAGCAGUUUGAUUAUCAUUGUGCAGGCCAGGUGGAAAAUGUGCUUGUCUCUUUGAUACCUUGUUCUAGAUGGUAGCCAAUUAACAUAAUCUGCUGAGCAGUAGAUAUCCAACCUCAAGUGACAGUAUACAGAUCGUGUUCAAAGAUAGUGCACAUUUGCUCUGAACUCUGAAUUCUUUUUCUGCCAUUAACUAUUUCCAUAUAUUAAACAAGAAUAAAAUAUUUCCUGUGGUUUUCAGGUGCUUUCCACAAUGUGUCAUUCAGAUUUAUAGCACUUGAUGUAAAUAUUUCAGUGACAUAGUAAAAAAUGUAUCAGGAUACGGUUCCACUUUGUCUCAGAGUUCACAUGGGGCCCUUUUGGGAUUCAGUGUCUCAGUUCUGCAAAUUUGCAAGCAAAGGGCAUUUAAUGAUCUAGCUGAUAAAGCCAUCCUUCCAUGCAUUCUCCUGUGAGUUAAUACGAAAAUGAAGGACUAGCGUUUUUCCUUAGCUUUUUAGCUAUUUAAUCUCCUAACAUGGAAUUAAAUGAUAAAAUGUUUCAGAAGAAGAGUGUUAUGAUGGGGAGAACAUGGAAAGAUAACAUCAGAGUUUGAUUCUUCCCUUUGCUAAGGUGACUGAGUAUUUAAUGGCUUUGUAGUUUAGUUACCGUAAAGUCAUCCACUUACACUAGAUUGUCUACUAGGACUGUUCUAGCUCCAUAGGUUUUGAUUCUAAAUUAGCAUUGAGAACUUUGUCUAGAUACUCAUGUUGCAACUGAACAAAGGGUGGGGGAAAAAUGUAAUUGUAAUGUAUACAAGUAAGGAUAACUUGAUCCCCUUGCUGUACAGUGGGAAAAUAAAAAAAAUAAAAAAUAAAAAAA
rnacentral:lncRNA from 1 species